rnacentral:rRNA from 1 species
AGAGUUUGAUCCUGGCUCAGGAUGAACGCUGGCGGCAUGUUUAAGGCAUGCAAGUCGAGGGAUCGGAUAGGUGCUUGCACUUAUUACGGACCGGCAAACGGGUGAGUAACACACUAGUAACCUACCUCCAAGACAGGGAUAGCCCACCGAAAGGUGAAUUAAUACCUGAUAGUCAUAACAGUUUAAUUCUCGUUAUGUAAACGCUCCGGUGCUUGGAGAGGGGCUUAUGGCUGAUUAGUUAGUUGGUGGGGUAAUGGCCCACCAAGACAAUGAUCAGUAGCAGGCGUGAGAGCGUGACCUGCCUCACUGGGACUGAGACACUGCCCAGACUCCUACGGGAGGCUGCAGUCAAGAAUCUUCCACAAUGGGCGAAAGCCUGAUGGAGCAAUGCCGCGUGCAGGAAGACGCCUUUCGGGGUGUAAACUGCUUUUAUAUGGGAAGAAUUUGUGACGGUACCAUAUGAAUAAGAGGUUGCUAACUCUGUGCCAGCAGCAGCGGUAAUACAGAGACCUCAAGCGUUAUCCGGAUUUAUUGGGCGUAAAGCGUCCGCAGGUUGUUCUACAAGUCAUUUGUUAAAUCUUCGGGCUCAACCCGAAGACUGCAACUGAAACUGUAAAACUAGAGAAUGGGAGAGGUAAGCGGAAUUCUCGGUGUAGUCGUAAUAAGCGCUGAUAUCGAGAGGAACACCAAAGGCGAAGGCAGCUUACUGGAACAUUUCUGACACUCAUGGACGAAAGCGUGGGGAGCGAAGCGGAUUAGAUACCCGCGUAGUCCACGCCGUAAACGAUGUGUACUAGGUAUUGGAAGUAUCGACCCUUUCAGUGCCGUUUAAAAAAAGCUAA